rnacentral:rRNA from 1 species
CACGUAGGGGGCAAGCGUUGUCCGGAUUUAUUGGGCGUAAAGAGCUCGUAGGCGGCUUAGUAAGUCGGGUGUGAAACCUCCAGGCUCAACCUGGAGACGCCACCCGAUACUGCUGUGGCUAGAGUCCGGUAGGGGAGCGUGGAAUUCCUGGUGUAGCGGUGAAAUGCGCAGAUAUCAGGAGGAACACCAAUUGCGAAGGCAGCUCGCUGGGACGUCACUGACGCUGAGACGCGAAAGCGUGGGGAGCGAACAGG